rnacentral:lncRNA from 1 species
UAACGUUUGUCUAUUUUUUGCUUCAACCUAAAACACAAUACUAUCGAGUUCGAUUAACAUCCAUUUCAAGUCAAACAACCAAUGAAUCAAACUAACCAAAAAUUCACCCUUUUUUAAAUCCAUUUUUAAUCCCCGCCCCACUUUCAUUCUUGAUCAAUUAACCAAUUCCAAUGCAGAAGCAACCAAUCAAAAUCAAACAAUCACAGACGUUCAAACAUACUAUAAAAAAUUAUCAUCAGUCAAACCACGCAACUCACAAUAUCAACACAUCAAAUUGAAUAAAACGAGGAGAAUGGGUUAAAGAAUUGGACCUCAAAUGUCAGAUUUCAAUAUAUCGGAGAUAAAACUGCGCCCAAAAAGCCUCAAUUUGAACCUCGACCCACAAAACUCCAAUUCGGUAUCAGAAAUCGAAGCCCAAAAAUUGGUUGUGAUGAACAAGUUGAGACGAACGAGAACCCAAACCCCCAAAACAGCAACGAAGCCUGAUUAGCCCAACCCAAGAAACACCACAGAACCGAUCCACCCGUACGCGAAAUUAUAGCAAAAUCGAGUAAAAAACAGAGCUGAUUUCAACGAAAACCUCUCACUAAUUCAUCCUUUUUUUUUUUGGGGCCAAGUCUGGCUUCUUCAUUUUUGAUUUCCCUUCACUAGUUUCGAUCAGUAUUUGUGCUUUCCGAUGAGUAUGAUGAGGUGUAUAUAUCGUGAGAGCUUGAGUGUGUAUGCCGAUGGGAGCAAGAAAGGAGAAGAAAAUGAGGUCCCUAAUGGCGUUUGUGUGGGGGCUUGUUUUUUUUUGAAAAUGGAGGAAUUUUUGGUGAGUAUGUGUAGGAGAGAAUAGAGAAAAUUCUCUGGGUUUUUUUUCCUGUAUAUGCUGUAUAUGAUUUCUGUGUGUAUAUCUUCUCCUUACGAAAGAAUGGUGAGGACCCUUUUUGCUGUGUGAUGGUGAGUGAGAGUAUUCAAAGUGGGUCCCCCUUUUUUGGAAUAUAGCGUGUAUAUAUGGAUGGAUUCUUUGGUUAAGAUAAGUGAUGUCUAUUUUCUUCCUGUGGGCCCCUUUUAGUGGAAAUAUGUAUAUGUGGGUUAUAUUUGUAUUCCAUCAAAAGAGAAACUCAAUUAUGUUAAGGGUCUAACAAGAAUGGAAAAGACGUAUUAGGGGGUUAGGGGUUGUGGUGACGUAGGGUUAGGGGGUAUGUGGUGAUGUGUUGUCAAUUUUUAAUUGAAGAGGUUGUUGG